GUAGUACUCCCUCUGUCCCAAAAUUCUUGUCUUAGAUUUGUCUAAAUACGGAUGUAUCAAAUCACAUUUUAGUAUUAGAUACAUCCGUAUCUAAACAAAUCUAAGACAAGAGUUUUGGGGUGGAGGGAGUAGUUC
rnacentral:pre_miRNA from 1 species